rnacentral:rRNA from 1 species
GACGAACGCUGGCGGCGCGCUUAACACAUGCAAGUCGAACGGAAAGGCCUGCUUUCCCUUGUGGAUUGCGGGUACUCGAGUGGCGAACGGGUGAGUAACACGUGAGUGAUCUGCCCCCAACUUGGGUAUAAGCCUGGGAAACUGGGUCUAAUUCCCGAUAGGACUGCAGGGUGGUGCCUGUGGUGGAAAACGAUUUUCUAGUGGUUGGGGAUGAGCUGGCGGCCUAUCAGCUUGUUGGUGGGGUAAUGGCCUACCAAGGCGGCGACGGGUAGCCGGCCUGGGAUGGUGGACGGCCGCAUUGGGACUGAGAUACGGCCCAGGCGACAACGGGAGGCAGCAGUGGGGAAUAAUGCACGAUGGGCGGAAGCCUGAUGCAGCGACGCCGCGUGGGGGAUGACGGGCUUGGGGUUGUAACCUCCUGGCGACCGCGAGGAAGCCACCUGGUUGGAAGGGUGGUGACGGUAGUGGUAGAAGAAGCACCGGCUAACUACGUG